rnacentral:tRNA from 1 species
UACCAAGAUAGUUUAAAAAAACACUAGGCGGUGACCCUAGCAAUAGAACCAAGUUCUUCUUGGUA